rnacentral:tmRNA from 1 species
GGGGGCGACCUGGUUUCGACGUGGGUUGCAAAGCUUGAGGUGCAUGCCGAGGACGUAACUUAACCUCGUAAAAUACCGUUACAAACCAAAUAGUUGCCAAGAAAAACGCAACUCCCGUUAACGAUGCUUUCUUCGCGGAAGCAUUAGCCGCCUAAACACCGGCAUAACGGCCACCCACCGGUUGUGCUUGUACGACCGGACGUUUACGAAAGUAAACAUGGGGGGUCAUAGCCUACAAGCUCGCAUGAGGAUCAGCCCGAGAUCCGAUUGCUAAAUUUAAACGGGAUCGCUGCCUUAACACCUUUCCAACCAGGCGUGAGGUAGUUAAAUUUAAAGAUUGGAUAAGCAUGUAGACCCGAGAGUAGAGGAUUCGCGGACGCGGGUUCAAUUCCCGCCGCCUCCACCA